rnacentral:rRNA from 1 species
GGACCCGCACAAGCGGUGGAGCAUGUGGUUUAAUUCGAAGCAACGCGAAGAACCUUACCAAGUCUUGACAUCCUUUGACCACCCUAGAGAUAGGGCUUUCCCUUCGGGGGACAAAGUGACAGGUGGUGCAUGGUUGUCGUCAGCUCGUGUCGUGAGAUGUUGGGUUAAGUCCCCGCAACGAGCGCAACCCCUAUUAUUAGUUGCCAGCAUUCAGUUGGGCACUCUAAUGAGACUGCCGGUGACAAACCGGAGGAAGGUGGGG